AGAAAUUGAAAAGUUGAAGGCAAAAAUCAGGUGCUACAGGGAGGAAUCGCGCAAAAGCACGCAAAGAAGAGGGAGGAGAAAUUACCGCUCACCCCCGGGCAGUGCAAUUUUACAGCCAAGCGGUGGCAGCGAACACUUAAGCCCAAGCUCUUUAAUGCUUGGCAGUUUUAGGUGUUCUGCACUUGAAUCCACUCCUUUGCAUUUCGCCAAGCGGUCUUUUUGAGCUUUAACACCCAAUUUGCACCUUCAAAGGGUUUCCAAAGAGAUUUUUCCACAUUUUCUUACCACCC
rnacentral:lncRNA from 1 species